rnacentral:rRNA from 1 species
GACGAACGCUGGCGGCGUGCCUAAUACAUGCAAGUCGAACGCUUCUUUCCUCCCGAGUGCUUGCACUCAAUUGGAAAGAGGAGUGGCGGACGGGUGAGUAACACGUGGGUAACCUACCCAUCAGAGGGGGAUAACACUUGGAAACAGGUGCUAAUACCGCAUAACAGUUUAUGCCGCAUGGCAUAAGAGUGAAAGGCGCUUUCGGGUGUCGUUGAUGGAUGGACCCGCGGUGCAUUAGCUAGUUGGUGAGGUAACGGCUCACCAAGGCCACGAUGCAUAGCCAACCUGGAGGGUGGUCGGCCCCACCUGGGCCUGAAAAACGGCCCGGACCCUUACGGAAGGAAGAGGUAGGGAACCUUGGCAAAUGGAGGAAAUUUUGCCCAAGCACCGCGGGGGGGGUGAAGAAGGUUUUCGGUUCGUAAAACUCUUUUGUUGGGGAAAAACAAGGCCGUUAGUAACGGACCGUCCCUGACGGUAUCUAACCAGAAAGCCACGGCUAACUACGUG